AAGUCGUAACAAGGUUUCCGUAGGUGAACCUGCGGAAGGAUCAUUAUCGAAUAAACUUGAACAGGCUGUUGCUGACCCCCCUAGGGUGUGUAUGUGCACGCUUGUCAUCUUUAUCAUUUCUCCAACUGUGCACAUAUUGUAGACCCUUGGAAAGCUUUUUGAAUUUAUUUUCGAGUUGGGACUGCUGUGCUUUUGAUCAAAGUCAGCUUUGCCCUUUGCAUUUCCAGGUCUAUGUCAUUUUUCACAAACCUCUUGAUGCGUUUAGAAUGUGUUGAAUCAGGUCAAUUUGUACCUAUAAAGUUUAAAUAUACAACUUUCAGCAACGGAUCUCUUGGCUCUCGCAUCGAUGAAGAACGCAGCGAAAUGCGAUAAGUAAUGUGAAUUGCAGAAUUCAGUGAAUCAUCGAAUCUUUGAACGCAUCUUGCGCUCCUUGGUAUUCCGAGGAGCAUGCCUGUUUGAGUGUCAUUCAACUUCUCUCAACUACAUCAAUCAGUCUGAUGUGGCUUGGAUGUGGGGGGAUUUUCUUUGCAGGCUUUUUUGAAUGAAGUCUGCUCCCCUGAAAUACAUUAGUGGUGUCUGAGCUGCUGCUAUAGGUGUGAUAAUUAUCUACGCCUUAUGCUAGGUUGGUUGCGCUGCUUCUAACAAAAAAGACCUACAAUUUUAUUAUUGUUUGACAAAUUUGACCUCAAAUCAGGUAGGACUACCCGCUGAACUUAAGCAUAUCAAUAAGCGGAGGAAAAGAAACUAACAAGGAUUCCCCUAGUAACUGCGAGUGAAGCGGGAAAAGCUCAAAUUUGAAAUCUGGCAGUUCUUGAACUGUCCGAAUUGUAAUCUAGAGAAGUGUUACCUGUGCUGGACCGUGUACAAGUCUUCUGGAAUGGAGCAUCACAGAGGGUGAGAAUCCCGUCUUUGACACGGACUGCCUGCACGUUAUGGUGUGCUCUCGAAGAGUCGAGUUGUUUGGGAAUGCAGCUCAAAAUGGGUGGUAAAUGCCAUCUAAAGCUAAAUAUUGGCGAGAGACCGAUAGCGAACAAGUACCGUGAGGGAAAGAUGAAAAGCACUUUGGAAAGAGAGUUAAACAGUACGUGAAAUUGCUGAAAGGGAAACGCUUGAAGUCAGUCACGUCGGCUAGAAAUCAGCCUUGCUUUUGCUUGGUGUACUUUCUGGUUGAUGGGUCAGCAUCAAUUUUGACCAUUGGAUAAAGUCAUUGGGAAUGUGGCAUCUUAGGAUGUGUUAUAGCCCAUUGUCGCAUACAGUGGUUGGGAUUGAGGAACUCAGCAUGCCACAAUGGCCGGGUUUUUUUACCACGUUCAUGCUUAGGAUGCUGGCAUAAUGGCUUUAAUCGACC
rnacentral:rRNA from 1 species